UAAGUACUCUAUAAAUAAAGUUUUAUUAUUAUUAUUAUUAUUAUUAUUAUUAUAUGCUAUGUGGUACUGUGCAGCUACAGUAGGCAGUUUGAACAUACACAAUGCAAAACCUUCCGUGUCUCUCUCUGCUGCUCGUAUCACUCCACUAAGCCUCUCCCAACAAACCCACAGCAGAGCAGAAGGAGCCCGGUUGCCCUAGAAGGGUCCGGCUGCGGCCUGUAGACCGGCGCAGCAUGAGGGGGCUCAACGUGAGCAUCCAGUUAAACCCUUAGUCACAGAGUGGGCAAAUGGAGGACGGUGACAUUGCUCUUGGAUCUAGGUCAAAGUUCAUUACAAGAAGAUGGCAUUCGAGCAAUGGCGCAGCAGAAGCAGCAGCCCCAUAUCUCUGUAUUACCGAAGAAUUUGGAGCCAGUAUUAAUACGCAUGAGGCAUGAUCAACCCCCGAUCCUGAUGAACAUUUUGGAUCUUAUAUAAUGAAAAGAAUUAGACUUUUCUGAAAGCUGUCUUCUAAGUCAUAAGCCAGGCCUGUCCAGAGACUGAUACGCCUUCCCCAGCAACCUCCUCUGUCCCAUGACUUUUGUCACACUCAGGUCACUAAUGGAAGAUUGAAUGACAAUUUCUCGAUUUAUGGCAGCCUGAAAAAACUCAUGAAGCAUGAACAACCUAAGCCAUCAGUUUGUUACAUUAAGUAACAAUAUAACAAGAGUGUGGAACUUGAUGUUGUGAUGCUGAUGUCACAAGAGCAAUACCCUGUCAACAAGAACUGUUCUUUAUGUAAAGAAAUUAAUAUGAUGUACAAAGAAUGGAUCACCAUUUUCUGUAUUAAAACUAUUCUUUCAAGACAACCAUAAUAAUUUGGGACAGCAUGUGUGAUAAUUUGGGAUACAUUUUCAGUAGUGUAAGUCCUUGCUUGCCACUCUAAUGACAUAUUACCAAGAAUAUUUUCAGCUGAUCUCUUGUUGUCUUAACCUUGAUGUUAAUCAAUUGAACAUGCCUGAGGUUACUAGAUGGUACAUAGUCGCCUAUUAUGAUGUGCUGAAUAGCACAUGAAACAGGAAAUGUGAAUAUGUAUCUAUGCAACAAUUAAUUUAUCAUGGCUGGUAAUAAGAGGAAAUGUAAGUGAAAGGCUGAAUUCCACAGCCCUCAGAGUGCUUGUGUGUGUGUACCUGCUGACCCCUCCUCCUCUCAGAGGAGAGACAAGCAGACAGACGAAACACACUCAUGAGAUACAAAGAUUGUAUCUUGAUUUUAUUCUAAUAGCCGGAAGCCUUUAUUCUGCUACACGCAAAUCACAAAAUGUGUGCAAAACAUUUCAAUUUGCAACACAUGGUGAUGAUCAAUUAGAAAUUAUUUACAUACAUUACUUGUGUUUAAAGGUUAUCUGUUGCAUGUUGCAUAAGGCCUUUUUAAAAAGUGUUCAAAGUGUAUCUAAUUAAACAUUUUCCAUUGUUUUACAUCAUAAGUGUAGAAACAGUACUGGCUAAUAAUGUUGUGCAUGUACAACAUUACAUCUCUUUUUCUCACUGUUCGGCUGAAUAGUUCUAAAUCAUCUAAGUGUUCUUAUAAUUGUCUACAGUGACUACAUAUUUUUGUCACUGCUGUGCAUGUGUUCAUACUGAUGUUGUCUUGACAACAUUUUGAUUAAAAGGUGAUGUCUUUUGUUUCUUUUCAGUCAGAGCUUCAGGACGUGUUUCUGAUUGUGAAUACAGCAGCUAGACCUAUUAGAAGUCGCCUAGUCUCAACCUGUGAUUUCUUCUUUUUAGUUGAACCGUAGGCUCAGAAUUCUUUGGCACAUAAGUAAAGAGCAUCUUAUACUACAUCA